rnacentral:misc_RNA from 1 species
UCUCCGUUGGUGAACCAGCGGAGGGAUCAUUACAGAGUUGCAAAACUCCCAAACCAUUGUGAACGUUACCUAUCCCGUUGCUUCGGCGGGCGGCCCGGGCCCCGCGCCCGGCGCCCCCCGGCCCCCCGUGGGCGCCCGCCGGAGGUAAACCAAACCCUUGUAUCUUUUUUAUAGCAUGUCUGAGUGGAAUCAUAAACAAAUGAAUCAAAACUUUCAACAACGGAUCUCUUGGUUCUG